rnacentral:tRNA from 1 species
AAAAAUGUAGUAUAAUUAAUACAAUUCAUUUACACUGAAUAUAUACUUUAAUAUAAAGUCGUUUUUA